rnacentral:misc_RNA from 1 species
GUGCUUCAUCUCUACAGCUCAUCAUGUACAUCAUCCUUGCUGUCAGCACUGUCUUCUGCAACGUCUGAUUUUAUUUCACCAUCGUCCUCUCCUUCAGCAUCAUCAGCGUCAUCAUCCUCUUCUUCAUCAGCAUCAGAAUCAACUGGAUCAUCCUUGGAUUCCUCCUCUUCUCUAAUCUUCUCUGCUGCCUCAAAAGCUGCCUUCUCAGCAUCCUUAUUCUUUUCCCAUGUUUCUUCAGCCAGCUUCUUUGCA